GGUCAAGUUAUUAAGAGUGCAGGGCGGAUGCCUUGGCACUAGGAGCCGAUGAAGGACGUGAUAAGCUGCGAUAAGCUUCGGGGAGUUGCACGUAAACUUUGAUCCGAAGAUUUCCGAAUGAGGAAACUCACUUAGAGUAAUGUCUAAGUAUCAUUAAGUGAAUACAUAGCUUAAUGAGGGGAACUCAGGGAACUGAAACAUCUAAGUACCUGAAGGAAGAGAAAGAAAUUCGAUUCCGUAAGUAGCGGCGAGCGAACGCGGAUUAGCCCAAACCAAUAAAGUUUUCUUUGUUGGGGUUGCGGACAUAUCAUAACGAAGAGGUAUCGUAAUUGAAGAGGUUUGGAAAGACCCACCACAGAAGGUAAUAGUCCUGUAUGUUAAACGAGAAGACUUUAGAUAUGAUCCAGAGUACCACGGGACACGUGAAACCCUGUGGGAAGCAGGAGGGACCACCCUCCAAGGCUAAAUACUACCUAGUGACCGAUAGCGUAUAGUACCGUGAGGGAAAGGUGAAAAGAACCCCGGGAGGGGAGUGAAAUAGAACCUGAAACCCUGCACUUACAAGCUGUGGAAGCACAUUUCUUGUGUGACCGCGUACUUUUUGUAGAACGGGCCAACGAGUUACGUUAAGUAGCAAGGUUAAACACUUAAGGUGCGGAGCCGUAGCGAAAGCGAGUUUUAACUGAGCGUUCAGUUACUUGACGUAGACCCGAAACCGGGCGACCUACCCAUGAGCAGGAUGAAGCGAAAGUAAAAUUUCGUGGAGGUCCGAACCCACGAGCGUUGAAAAGCUCGGGGAUGACUUGUGGGUAGCGGUGAAAUUCCAAUCGAGCCCGGAGAUAGCUGGUUCUCCCCGAAAUAGCUUUAGGGCUAGCCUCAAGGUGAGAGAUACGGAGGUAGAGCACUGAAUGUCCUAGGGGGUAUUGCACCUACCGAAGACUAUCAAACUCCGAAUGCCGUCAUCUUAUACUUGGGAGUCAGACUGUGGGUGAUAAGAUUCAUAGUCGAAAGGGCAACAGCCCAGAUCGUCAGCUAAGGUCCCUAAAUGUAAGUUAAGUGGUAAAGGAUGUGGGAUUGCACAGACAACCAGGAUGUUGGCUUAGAAGCAGCCACUCAUUCAAAGAGUGCGUAAUAGCUCACUGGUCGAGUGAUCCUGCGCCGAAGAUUUCCGGGGCUAAAACUUACUACCGAAGCUACGGCAUCAGUAAUGAUGGGUAGGGGAGCUUCCCAUACGGGUUGAAGCAUGACCGUAAGGACAUGUGGACAGUAUGGGAGUGAGAAUGUUGGCAUGAGUAGCGAGAUGUGGGUGAGAAUCCCACAGGCCGUAAACCCAAGGUUUCCAGGGGAAGGUUCGUCCGCCCUGGGUUAGUCGGGACCUAAGCUGAGGCCGAAAGGCGUAGGUGAUGGACAACAGGUUGAU
rnacentral:rRNA from 1 species